rnacentral:sRNA from 1 species
CGGAAUUUUACACCGUUGUUGAAAAUUCAUACACCCAUUCGGCUGCGCCUCAGGGUGUAUGAAUUUUCAACAUUCGGCUGCGCCUCAGGGUGUAUGAAUUUUCAACAACGGUGUAAAAUUCUG